ACCAGAGUUUGUCAUCGGCUCAGGAGAAAAGCUGGCGGCGUGCUUAACACAUGCAAGUCGAACGGUAUGGCCCUUCGGGGUACACGAGUGGCGAACGGGUGAGUAACACGUGAGUAACCUGCCCCGGACUCUGGGAUAAGCAUUCGAAAGGGUGUCUAAUACUGGAUAGGACUCCUGCCUGCAUGGGUGGGGGUGGAAAGAUUUUUUGGUUCGGGAUGGGCUCGCGGCCUAUCAGCUUGUUGGUGGGGUGAUGGCCUACCAAGGCGUCUACGGGUAGCCGGCCUGAGAGGGCGACCGGCCACACUGGGACUGAGAUACGGCCCAGACUCCUACGGGAGGCAGCAGUGGGGAAUAUUGCGCAAUGGGCGGAAGCCUGACGCAGCAACGCCGCGUGCGGGAUGACGGCCUUCGGGUUGUAAACCGCUUUCACCCAUGACGAAAAUUUUUUUGACGGUAGUGGGAGAAGAAGCACCGGCCAACUACGUGCCAGCAGCCGCGGUGAUACGUAGGGUGCGAGCGUUGUCCGGAAUUAUUGGGCGUAAAGAGCUUGUAGGCGGUUUGUCGCGUCGGAAGUGAAAACUCGGGGCUUA
rnacentral:rRNA from 1 species